GGUCAUAGAUGAAUAAACGGCGACUCAUAAUCGCUUGGUCACAGGUUCGAGUCCUGUUGGGCCCACCA
rnacentral:tRNA from 1 species